UACAGAGGUCUCAAGCGUUGUUCGGAUUUAUUGGGCGUAAAGAGCUCGUAGGCGGCUUGUUGCGUCAGCUGUGAAAACCUGCAGCUUAACUGUGGGCGUGCGGUCGAUACGGGCAUCACUGGAGUUCGGCAGGGGAGACUGGAAUUCCUGGUGUAGCGGUGAAAUGCGCAGAUAUCAGGAAGAACACCAAUGGCGAAAGCAGCUCUCUGGGACGGUACUGACGCUGAGACGCGAAAGCGUGGGGAGCGAACAGG
rnacentral:rRNA from 1 species